rnacentral:rRNA from 1 species
UACGGGAGGCAGCAGUGGGGAAUAUUGCACAAUGGGCGCAAGCCUGAUGCAGCCAUGCCGCGUGUAUGAAGAAGGCCUUCGGGUUGUAAAGUACUUUCAGUCGUGAGGAAGGUGUUAAGGUUAAUAACCUUAGCAAUUGACGUUAGCGACAGAAGAAGCACCGGCUAACUCCGUGCCAGCAGCCGCGGUAAUACGGAGGGUGCGAGCGUUAAUCGGAAUUACUGGGCGUAAAGGGCACGCAGGCGGUUAAUUAAGUUGGAUGUGAAAUCCCCGGGCUUAACCUGGGAAUGGCAUUCAAGACUGGUUAGCUAGAGUCUUGUAGAGGGGGUAGAAUUCCAUGUGUAGCGGUGAAAUGCGUAGAGAUGUGGAGGAAUACCGGUGGGCGAAGGCGGCCCCUGGGACAAAGACUGACGCUCAUGUGCGAAAGCGUGGGGAGCAAACAGGAUUAGAAUACC